ensembl:rRNA 5S_rRNA 5S ribosomal RNA
GUCUACGGCCAUACCACCCUGAACGUGCCUGAUCUCGUCUGAUCUCGGAAGCUAAGCAGGGUUGGGCCUGGUUAGUACUUGGAUGGGAGAAGACAUGACUCCAGGCCACACUGUAGAAA